AAUGAUAAAAUCUUAAGAGAAUCAUAAAUCUAAACUUUUAUGUAAAAAACAGUCAUUUUUAUUUUAAGUCCCCAGGGUGCAUCUACUCAUUAACGAUUUUUUUCAUUAAGUAACAUCAGGAAGCUAGGGCAAAGGUGAGUACAAGAAAUUAGUCAUCACCUUGCUCGCCAGCCCAGCCUCGGGAAGGAAGAGGUGCAUCAGCUAGGACCAGUCAGGCUACCAUUGUUUCUUGUUCCCUGUCCUCAAAAAAAUUCCCUCACUCAACUAUUAAUAGUUUUACUUUCUGACCUUCAAAUUGUUCCCCAAGGCCACUAACAAUCUAUAUCUCUAAAUUCCUUCUAAGGGUGGUGGUUGAAUCGUUUAUCUGCUCCAGUAUCGAUGCUUGACAAAGCUCCAUUAUUAUUACUGUGAGUGGCAGUGACACUGCCCAGUGAGGCUGGACGCCCCUCAAAGUUUCCUGCACUCAUGGACUGUGAGGCAGCCACAGCAGCUGCGCCGAGGCACGGGCACAGCCAUCGUGCUUGUGCUAGCUGGCUAUGGUGGACCAGUCCAUGAGUUCUAAAGCUAUUUUGCUGUUCCUCUUUCUUGCCCCAUCCUGAGACAGCUUGUGUGAACCCUGCCACAGGCAGCCGGAGACAGGUCCUCAGCACAUACAGGCUCACUUCACUCCAGGUGGGCUGCUCACCUCAGGUUAUGAGAGGCCUCACAGUUGAAGAUGCACUGGAGCACAUUGCUGGGAAGUAGAGGCCUGUAUCUACACCUGGGAGGAAGCAGAUGCAGGUGACAUGAGACCUGGAUGCACCAAUAAAGUUAGAGUCCUGUAGAAGAUUCAUGCGUAAGAGGAAAAUGCAGGAGUUGAGUAUAGAAGAGCCCUGCAGCUCUCCUGGGUGCUUUUAGCUCCUUAAUGUUUUUCUAGACCGGAAAGGGCGUGGCUAGCUUAACUGAGGUCCAGGACACAAGUGUGGCAAGAGAAAAUCUUACCCAUUGUGACAUGAUGCUAGAGCUGAGGUUCUUCAGCUGCAAAAAAAAGCUUCCCACAGCUCUGACUCAAAAGAGACAGACCGGUCCAGGAUUCCAGUCCAUCUGCAGGCCUUAAGUAACCCUGUCCCCUGGGGGACCUAAACACUACCAUGUUUCUCCCUCAGAAACGAUGGCCACCACCAGCUCAGUAAGCAAAGAAACACCCCAAGUGCUUACUUCCUGCCCAGACCAGUUUUGAGUGUAGGUCAUAGGUGAGUAUAGAAAGUCUUAGCCACUAGCCUUAGCUCAUGAAAGUAGGGUGCCUAACGAGUGGCCUGUCCACAUAAGCCAGCAUUCUAAGCUACACACAGUCUGUCAGGGAACCAAGUGUGAGUAGAGGCAGCUCAGAGUUCCCGUCCACGGGGGACCUUGGGAAGCUGAUUUGUAUUUUUUUUUCUCCCCAACAUCUAGGAGAAAGGCAGCCUCCCAGACAGACAAGCCCGCUGACAGAAAGGAAGAUGAGAGCCAAACGGUAGGCACCACUCUACCCAGCCGGCCCACACCGUCAGGCCUGCCUCUGGUGUAAGCACAUCUCCCGGUGAGGUCACCGGAAGCUGAGUACCUGGUUUAGACACAGCUGUGAGGGAGGGACAGGGAUCCCGUCAAGCUUCAGGCCCAGACAGGCUUGCAUCUCCUGAGAAUUCUUUUGACCAGACCCUUGGAGCCAUCAUUCAGCAGGGAAAGCAGAAGUAGACAGGAAAGUCCCGGCCAGCAGGAGUGCUUAGAGAAUCCCAGGGAACUCAGGACCAUUAUGCUCCAGCAUGCCAGGGCUGCAUCAAAGGGACUGGAACCAUCUACUGAAGCCUGAAGUCAGAGUGGUCUUAUUUCAAGUUACUUAUAGUUCUAAACACACCACUUGAGUAUCCAUCAAGCCCAGUGGGAGCUGUGCUCCCCAGCCAUGGCAGGGUUCUGGAACCCUGGACUCUAGUCCCUGGCAGGCAUGUGGAGAUUGGUCUGUCAGCACAGAGCUCUUAGCCUCAACUUCUAUUUAUGGUGACCAUUUUUUUUUAAUGUACACGAUAAGCUUUCUUAUUUU
rnacentral:lncRNA from 1 species